UUCGGCAACAUAUAUGUGGAAGGAUUAUGUGGAAGGUUAUGUGGAACUUCUGAAAAAAUGCAAUGUCUCACCCAUACAAGUUUUUUUAUGAAGCCUGUCCUGCUGUCCUGCCUCCUCCCAGUAAGCCUGCCAUCCCUGACAUGUUUCCCUCCUGGUGUAGUAUCUUUGGUCCCCUCACCACCACUGCCUGUAUGCAUGUUGCACAGUACCCCAGAUCCUUCCGUAAAGGAAGGGGUUUAUUCCCUAAACCCCUUUCACCAUACAUUCAGCUUCAUCUCAUUUCUCCAGGAUUCUUGGUGUUUCUCUUCCCAGACUGGAAAGAUGACGCAUGCACAUUUGUCAUGCAGCAGGAAUGUCAGUCAGUCCAUGAAGGUAGUUGGGAAGGCAACCUUUGCGUUUUUUCCCCUGCAACUGACUGACCCUUCACCUCACUGAUCUGUCAUGCUUUCAUGUGGCUCUGAAAAAACCUGUUUGAGUGUUACAGUGGGACUCCACACCAGUCUCACCUCCUUCUUCUUUUCCUUUCAUAUUCUUCAGAUAUUUGUCCUCAGUGGCUCACCUGGAAAAGAAACCAGGCACCAGACCUUAAGAUGAAAGCCUUGCUAGGUAUCACACAAAACUUCUGAUAUGGACAGCCAACUUUACAUUUUAAAAAAGCAACCAACAUGCUCUCACUGUGGGAGACUGGAGGCCAGCUGUUCUUUCUACUUCAAGAUUAGAGAGUGUCCUUACAUGUCUUCUGGAUUUGGCUAGCAUACGUAAGGAACAGAGUUAUCCUAAUUCAGAAUCCAAAGCUUUGCCCACAAGAUUUUACCCAAAGAGAAGUCACAUUUGCAGGCCACAAUAGAUCAAAUGAGUUUGAAAGAACUAAAGAACCAAUAAUGACCCUCAGUCAAAGUUUAUUUUUCAGUAUUAAGCUUCCUACAAAGAUUUACAAAACAUCCAGCCUCCCCAUAGAAUAAAAAUAAAUUCAUAAAGCAGCAGAAAACAAUCAUUUUAAAUCCCUAAUACAAGUACUAUUAAACAUUUAAAUUUCCCCUUUAAAUAUGUCUCAUUUUAUUUUUAUAGAUGGAGUGUUUUUCUUAGUGCCUAGUUUUAUCUCAGGAGACUUUUGCCUAAGUCAAUAUUUACUUCAAUGAUUCAGUCAAACCACUAAAUAAGAUCUUACCUAUAGAAGAGCAACAACUUAGUAUUUUAUUUCAAAAGAUGCGAACUCUAAGAACUGGAAAAUACGGAAUAUAACCCUGAAUUUGUCCACCCUCAUUUAUUUGCACUGCCAAAACUUACUAUCAUAGAUAAGCUCCUGUAAAACAAUGCCAUCACUUCAUAUUUAUCAUUCCUUUAAAUCACAUUAGAUUAAUAACAGGUUAGGAACCAUUCACCACUUGUCAUCUAAUAAUGUGUUUUGAGGUUACAUAAAAGAGAGGAGAAUAUCACUAACAUUAUUCACAUGGAUAUAUUCCUUAUGGCAUCAAUUCUCCAUUAUCUAAGAUAAUCUGGGCCUGAGAUAAACCAGGUACAGAAAACCCCAGUGGCAGCACUGGUACCGAUCCAAGACUCUGGCAUCCCUGUACCACAUUCCAGUUUCUGCAAGUGCUCAUUAGUCAAGCUGGCUCCACAUAGAUAAGAUACAGAAAGAUGCCUGAACCAGUAACACGAUCUGCUCACAGACUGAAUAAUCUUUCCACAGAUUUUGGAGAGUGAAUGAUCUUAGCAGAGAGACUCUCAGAAACUUUACUUUUGAAGUCUUAGUCAAUGCUCUUGGUAAGGUAUGCUCCUUGUCAACAACAGAAGAAAAAAGUGAACCCUUUAUUUUCUAAUCUUUUUCUUGAUUCUGUUGCUUUUCCCAGUGUGUUAAAUUGUGCCUUUAAGUUGCAGAUGAGGAAAAAGUUGCAUAUGUAGAGCAGCCAUUCUAGAGACAAUCAACGAAUCCAGGGUGUGAUUUUUCUAACCUGAAUUAUUGAUUGUCUUUGAUUUUCAAGAUCUGUUAGUUGUGCAUCUGUUGUUGGAAGACGAUUUAAAUUACUGUUUAAGCUGGUAGGUAUGCCUAAUGUGAUAUAAAAUACUAAACGUUUUCCUAGUACGAAGGAGCGUAUACCUGCAGUGUGGAGCAGCCGGGGUACCAGAGCCCAAGAGCACCCAGAAAACUACGUGACCAGACAUGCAAAAACAACCCGUGGUCCCCACCAUCGCACGUGCAAGCUCUCCCCACCACCCCAUUGCUUCACCCCACAAAACUGCCCCCCUCCCUGGCUGCUAGUGGAGCAAGAGGAGCCAUCACCAGCCAUCCUCUGGGCUGGCCACAGCAACCUCUCCUCGCUUCACCCUUUCCCCUGGCGGGGCGCUGCGCUGGGUCCCUCUCUUCUGCCCAUCCACCUGGCAUUCAUGAUAUCUGCAGGAACAAAAUAGCUUUGUGACCUCUACAUUUUGUCAGUUUAAGCUGAAAUCACCCAGUGGGUUUCAAACCUGUUUGAGGGAGCCAGGGACCAUCAGAGCAAUCGACGUAGCUGACUUCCUUAGAAAAACAGUCAAAUAAAAUUAAGCCAAAAAAGGUGGAAAUUAACUUUGUCACCUAUAAUCCCUAAUCUCCUAACCAUCGAGAAAAGAAGAUCCCAAUUGUCUGGAUGCGCCCCUUCUCACAAAAUAACAUAAAGUUUUGUAUUACAGUUUUGUUACCAAUCAUGACUUUCUUUUAGCUUUUCCUGUGUUAGUGAGAAUAAAGGAGAUUGUAGAACAAUUUA